rnacentral:rRNA from 1 species
UACGUAGGGGGCAAGCGUUGUCCGGAAUCAUUGGGCGUAAAGCGCGCGUAGGCGGCCCUGUAAGUCCGUUGUGAAAGUCAAAGGCUCAACCUUUGAAAGCCGAUGGAUACUGCAGGGCUAGAGUCCGGAAGAGGCGAGUGGAAUUCCUGGUGUAGCGGUGGAAUGCGCAGAUAUCGGGAAGAACACCCGUGGCUAAGGCGGCUCUCUAGUACGGUACUGACGCUGAGACGCGAAAGCGUGGGGAGCGAACAGG